rnacentral:rRNA from 1 species
AGUCGAGCGAACGGACGAGAAGCUUGCUUCUCUGAUGUUAGCGGCGGACGGGUGAGUAACACGUGGAUAACCUACCUAUAAGACUGGGAUAACUUCGGGAAACCGGAGCUAAUACCGGAUAAUAUUUUGAACCGCAUGGUUCAAAAGUGAAAGACGGUCUUGCUGUCACUUAUAGAUGGAUCCGCGCUGCAUUAGCUAGUUGGUAAGGUAACGGCUUACCAAGGCAACGAUGCAUAGCCGACCUGAGAGGGUGAUCGGCCACACUGGAACUGAGACACGGUCCAGACUCCUACGGGAGGCAGCAGUAGGGAAUCUUCCGCAAUGGGCGAAAGCCUGACGGAGCAACGCCGCGUGAGUGAUGAAGGUCUUCGGAUC